UACGUAGGGGGCGAGCGUUGUCCGGAGUUACUGGGCGUAAAGGGCAUGCAGGCGGUCGGACGCGUUUCGGGUGACAGCGGGUGGCUUAACUACCCGAGUGGUCGAAAGACGGUUUGACUUGAGGACGCGAGAGGGACACGGAAUUCCGGGUGGAGUGGUGAAAUGCGCAGAUAUCAGGAGGAACACCGGUGGCGAAGGCGGCGCUCUGGGCCGGUACUGACACUGAGGAGCGAAAGCGUGGGGAGCAAACAGG
rnacentral:rRNA from 1 species